CCGGUCUGGGCGCAGGCGAUUUCGUAUCAGCUAGUUGGUGAGGUAACGGCUCACCAAGGCGACGACGCGUAGCCGGACUGAGAGGUUGGCCGGCCACAUCGGGACUGAGACACUGCCCGG
rnacentral:rRNA from 1 species